AAAGCAGUAAAACAGACUUGGCUACCAACAAAUACCACUCGGUAGCAUUGAUGGGAUGCUCUCUUCUGACCCACUUUUCUUCAGUGCAGUUUCCUUUUUUUUCCCCUCUUUUAGUUAGUGAUGCUUCUAUAUGGUCAUGAAAUGAUGUGUGAUAGUGCCUUGAAGGAAUGUAA
rnacentral:ribozyme from 2 species